GACGAACGCUGGCGGCGUGCUUAUCACAUGCAAGUCGAACGGAAAGGCCCUGCUUUUGUGGGGUGCUCGAGUGGCGAACGGGCGAGUAACACGUGAGUAACCUGCCCUUGACUUUGGGAUAACUUCAGGAAACUGGGGCUAAUACCGGAUAGGAGCUCCUGCUGCAUGGUGGGGGUUGGAAAGUUUCGGCGGUUGGGGAUGGACUCGCGGCUUAUCAGCUUGUUGGUGGGGUAGUGGCUUACCAAGGCUUUGACGGGUAGCCGGCCUGAGAGGGUGACCGGCCACAUUGGGACUGAGAUACGGCCCAGACUCCUACGGGAGGCAGCAGUGGGGAAUAUUGCACAAUGGGCGGAAGCCUGAUGCAGCAACGCCGCGUGCGGGAUGACGGCCUUCGGGUUGUAAACCGCUUUCGCCUGUGACGAAGCGUGAGUGACGGUAAUGGGUAAAGAAGCACCGGCUAACUACGUG
rnacentral:rRNA from 1 species